CAUGCAAGUCGAACGCGGUUACCCCGCAAGGGGUAACUGAGUGGCGAACGGGUGAGUAACACGUGGGUGACCUACCUUCGAGUGGGGGAUAACGUCCCGAAAGGGACGCUAAUACCGCAUAACAUCCCGCCUUUGAACAGGUGGAGAUCAAAGCCGGGGAUCGCAAGACCUGGCGUUUGAAGAGGGGCCCGCGUCCGAUUAGCUAGUUGGUGAGGUAACGGCCCACCAAGGCGACGAUCGGUAACCGGCCUGAGAGGGCGGACGGUCACACUGGGACUGAGACACGGCCCAGACUCCUACGGGAGGCAGCAGUGGGGAAUUGUUCGCAAUGGGCGCAAGCCUGACGACGCAACGCCGCGUGGAGGAUGAAGGUCUUCGGAUUGUAAACUCCUGUUGCUCGGGACGAAAUGCUCCAACCUAAUACGUUGGAGUUUGACGGUACCGGCAGAAGAAGCUGCGGCUAACUACGUGCCAGCAGCCGCGGUAAUACGUAGGCAGCGAGCGUUGUUCGGAGUUACUGGGCGUAAAGCGUGCGUAGGCGGUUUUCCAAGUCUGGUGUGAAAUCUCCCGGCUCAACUGGGAGGGUGCGCUAGAAACUGGGAGGCUGGAGUGCGGGAGAGGUAGGCGGAAUUCCUGGUGUAGCGGUGAAAUGCGUAGAUAUCAGAGAACACCGGUGGUGUAGACGGCCUGCUGGACCGUAACUGACGCUGA
rnacentral:rRNA from 1 species